UCGGCCCGGCUCGGCUCGGCUCGGCCCGGCCCGGCUCGGACCCCGCCGCCCCGAGGUCUCGGUGGUGCCUUGUCAGUCGCCAGUCACUGAUUUAAAAGUGUUGACUGUGCAUCCCCCAAAUUCAGUACCGCCUUCCUCGGAGGGGAAGAGACAGCCACCUGUAGUGACAGGCUUUCUCAAACAAGCCCACCUCCUCUUCAGAGCCCUUCAUAAGCUUUAGUUCUUAGUUUCUUCAAGCACUCUGAAGGGAGGGGGAAGGGCGCUUUUCGAGGAGGCGGCAGGGCACGGAGCGCCCUGCGCUCCGCUCUCCUCUCAGCCCGCUGCCGGCGCCCUGCCGCGGGCUCUGCGGGAGCGCGGAGAGCAGAGCGCCCGCGGUCACCUGCAGCCCGGCCUGCCGUCUGCCCUGUGCGUUUUAGCCCCUGAGUGGAGCUUCUGCUGUAGCUGCUCCCCAGCUCUGAUCCUGGUGUGCUCACGUAUCCGAGACACAGCGCUGGCAGAUUUAAGUUACUACGUGGACGUGGGACGAAAAUGGACUCAGAGGAAGCUAAAAGAGGCAGACUCUCGUGGGGAAGUAGUGGAGAGAUGCAAAGAGAGCCUGUGCUGACGGGGUGAAGUUACACAUGUGCCAGGCAGGGACAGGCUGUGAGAAACCAGAAGCUGCAGAGGCUCUCUGAGGAUUCUUGAUGUGCUGCUGAAGUGGGAUGCUGGUGAUGAAGAUUUAAAAAUGCUGACAUCUGAUAAAAGUACUAGAUCAGAUUCUAUGAUUGUGAAAUGUAGAGGUAUCUAAAUCUUAUACCAUGAUAACUUGGAAGAAGAGUUCUUACAACUGAUUAUCCAGAUGUCUACAAAUAUGAAAAACAAGCUGCUCCAGAUAGUGUCUUGAUUUCUUUAUUUGCUAAAACUCUAUUUAUAUUUUCAGCUCAUCUUUAUUUGACUGCACAGUUUUUCAAGACUACCAUAUGUCUUUGCAUGUUCUCUAAAGAUUUUUCCCCAAAAUGGAAUUAUUCUGUCCCUCUUCUAUACCUGCAUUGAGACACAGAGCCAUUAAACACCAGAGAGUAUUAGAAGCACCACAGGGAAUUCUGAAAUUACUAUCUGUAAUUUUAAUCCAUUAAUUUACAGCUUGUAAGAGAGUGUCAGAAGUACCUGGGAUAAUUAUAAGAUAAUCCACAUUUCCUUUAACAAGACAAAAAUACCACCCCCAAUAUAACUCACAACAGCCCAGCCAGCUCUUAGUUGGUGUUGAGUGUAGCUGUCCUCACAAAUUGACACUUAAUGUUGAAAUAAUUUAUUACAGCAGUGUUUGAGAAGUUUACACAGAGCUGGGCACAUCUCACACACCUGCUGCCAGUGCCCUGGAUUCUUCCAGUGCCUGGGCUAGGCUGGAUCCAGAGCAGAUCUGAUGGUGCCAACACUCCUGUGCAUCUUGUGCAUGACCAAGGACUGCAGUCCUGGAUCUCACCUGGGUGCCACUUCCUAAGUCAGGACACGCUGUUGUACAGUCCUGGAGAAGCAGCAGGAAUUUAUUUUCAGACAGAAUAUAAUCAAUUAUACCUCAUACUCUUCUGUCAGCAGCAAAAUCCAGGCCAUUUGUUACAUAGUUUGGAAGAUGGUUCUGCAUUUUUAAACUUGCCUUUUGGUGUGGUUUCUAGGUUGCAUCCAUUAUUUUACUUGACACUUAAGAGUGUCCAGAAUGCAGGUUUUACUGUUUAUUCUGUAACAUCUUCAAAAGAUUGGACACUAUACUUAUUCCUGCCCUCUGCCAAAUAUAACUUUCUAUCACAUUUCCACUUUUUAAAGCAGCAUAACUGUUCCACUUCUAAAAAAUAAAAUGUGCAAACAGACUUUGUGAACAAGUGAGCCACAAGAACCUGAAUGUUGAAAACUUUAGAAAAAAUUCUCCUAGCUACUUUACUGUUAUGAAAUGGCCAUCUGAAAGAAAAAAAAACCCUCACGAAAACUGAAGGGAAGAGGAAA